GGCAAGUCUGAUGUGAAAAGGCAUGGGCUUCAACCUGUGGACUGCAUUGGAAACUGUCCAUCUUGAGUGCCGGAGAGGUAAGCGGAAUUCCUAGUGUAGCGGUGAAAUGCGUAGAUAUUAGGAGGAACACCAGUGGCGAAGGCGGCUUACUGGACGGUAACUGACGUUGAGGCUCGAAAGCGUGGGGAGCAAACAGGAUUAGAUACCCUGGUAGUCCACGCCGUAAACGAUGAAUAUUAGGUGUCGGGUUGCAUAGCAAUUCCGGUGCACGCAGCAAAAAUAGUAAGUAUUCCACCCGGGGAGUACGUUCGCAAGAAUGAAACUCAAAGGAAUCGGCGGGGUCCUGCUCAAGUGGUGGCGCAUUUGGUCUAAUUUGAAGAAACGCGAAGAACGAUAUCAAUUUUCGACCUCGGCGUGUCGGUUCAUCAGCCGGUACUUUCCUUCGCGACAGUCAACACAGGUGCCUCAUGGAGGUGUUCAGGUCGUGUCUCGAUAUCAAGGGGUAAGUUCCGCAUCGCGGGCAGCCCCUGUCUUGUGUAGCCAGCAGUCCGGUUCGCCACUAUCGAGAGAAUCCCGGGGGGAUCCCUGAGGAAGCAGGGGAGGAUGUCACAUCGUCACACGCAUCUAUGAUGUGGGUUACACAUGUGAGCACACAGGUGUAAACAAAGGUGAAGCGGAGAUGGAGACAGGGAGCACAUGUCAAAAUCAACGUUCCAGCUCGGGAAACAGUUCAAAUCUACAGAGCUCGCAGCGGGAAUUGUUCCUUUUGACGAGUAAGAAUGUAGCAGGGAACCAGUUUUCAUCUUGAGCCAUCAUCAACCUUC
rnacentral:rRNA from 1 species